rnacentral:lncRNA from 1 species
UAUUGUUUUUUAAAUAAAAUUUUAGAUUUUUUUUGCACAUUAUAUUGACUAUGUAACUGUAUUAGAGCUAUAUAUCUGUUCUAAAUAUAACUUUAAUAAUAAACUUAAUGGGAAAACAUUUGUAUUAGCAUGUAUAGUGUGGUCUAAAAAUUAGUUAACCAGCCUAAAUUGCUGUAUUAUUCGAAUACUUUAUUACUUUAAAAACUGCAUCAAUAGGCCCUAAACAAUAUUCUAAGAUAAAAUCACAAUUUACAGCUUAUUUAGUUUUAUGUAUUUAUCUUACUGUAUACACAAUAAAUGUCUUUAAAUUACAAUUUAAAUAUAUAUUUGUUGUGAAUUAUUUGAAAAAAUGAUAUAAUUAAUUAUAUGUUAUUAUAGAGUGGUUGCUUACUUGAAAAUCUUUCCAUCAUUUAAGAUAAGGUGGGCUUAUGAAAACUAUUAACAAGCAGCUUAAUGGAUAGAUAAUAGCUAAUAAAUAGAACGAAAUUUAAUAAAAUUAUAUAGUAGUUUGUCGCAAAUGGAGUAAAGGAAUAGAAUUUCAAAAAGUAUGCUGAUACACGAAUGUCCAACUGUCAUUUAUAAAAGUGAUUAAUACCAUUCAUGUCAUCAUAGCUAUGUCACUUGCUUAUGAUUAAUGAGUGAUUAUUAGGUACUAUAUUCAUACCACGUUUUUCAUUAUAACCCAAGGCAAUUCAAUUAAUAAUUUUGUUUCAUCUUAUUUAAAUUUUCUGUAAUCUUGACAUGGUAAUUUUGAAAUGCAAAAGAUACAAUAGUUUAUGCAUAUUUUAUAGUAGCCUAUUCAUAAGGUCAAAUUCAUUUUAUAUGUAACAUUGCAUAUGUUUAUUAUAUAAAUUAUAUAAAAUAUCAUAAAUUAUGUGUUUCACGCUAUGCAUAAUUAUUAAUUUUAAAUAAAAUACAAAAGAGUGUAGUAGGACUGUAUAUUGCAAGUAACCCACGCUAAUGGAUGUGAUAACAUUGGUCCUAUUUACUAAAAUGAUAAACUAUUGUAGGUUACACCUGUUUAAUCCAAUAAUAAACUUUCUUGAUGAACAAUUUUUAUGGAUAAAGGGAUGUACCUUAAUUAAAUAUAUAAAAAAUAAUGGUAUAAAUUGUUUAAAUCAAUUAAUCAUUUGUUUUAACAUCAUUGAAAAUAUUCUUUUCUUAUAUAUAUUUUUAAAUGAGAGGGUAAAUUUAUUUUAAAUAUGACUUUUCUAGUAUAUUGAUGCGGUUUCAUUCUAUUAAUCAACUUAUAUCCUGUACACACACCUCACUUAUGGCAUGAAAUGAGACAAAUUUAGAAGAGAAAAAUGUGACAAAUUGUUUUUUCUUUCUCCCAUAUCUUCAAAUUGCUCCGUUUCUCUCUCUUUCUUCUAACAUUAUACUUAAAGGUGAAUGAAAAAUGGCAAAAAAAUCACAGGCUGGCUUUUAUGAAAUAGAAACGUUUUAAGUUCCCACGUCCUUGGAGAUUUUUUGACUAAUGGAUAAAUUUUGUAAAUUUUUAUCCCAGUUCCUUAGGAUGCCAGAUGUUACCUAACAGUAUACUAACUUUUCUUCUGUCCUAUGUAUAAAUUUACUAAAAAUUAAUUGAUUUACAUUAGUGUAAACUAUGUUAAGAAGGGAAUGUGAUAUGGAUCAUAUGGAUGUUUAUCCAAUUUAACCAUCAAAUUCAUUUAUAAUUCUGAAGCUAAAUAUAAUUUAGAUUAAUUAUAUUUAUUUACAGAAUACAUCAUAUUUUACAUUAAAUUACAAAAUUAAGAUUUUUGGGAUGUUCCUUAGGAUGUUCACACACCUUUAUAUUGUUCUAUGUAUAAAUGUAUUUAAAAUUAGAUUAGAAUAAACUAUAUUAACGAAGUUCUUAAGAAAGGAGCCCAAUAGACUUUUCUCAUAUAAAAAUAUAAAUUAAAUUAUGUUCUAGAGUAAUUUAUAUGCCGUUCUGAAGCUAUAUUUACGUAUUACCUCUCAUAUUUUACAGUAAAAUUUUUAAAUGUGUAGUCUACUGUUACAUACAUUAAGACAUAAUUAAAAUACGUGUAUGUAUAUUAAAUAUAAUUUAACCUAGAUAAAUAAAUUUCUAGUUAUUAAGAAACCUCAACAAUAUAUCAAAAUAUUAUGUUUAAGUUAAUUACUUAAUUAACCUUUGUAUUUUUUUUACAAGUUUCUUUAGAGAGGACGAGUAUUUUUUAAGUUAGUAAACAACCUUAUAAGGUUAUUUUAUAUGAAAGAACUCAAUAUUUUGAAGAGAUAGAAGAGACUCAAUUUACAAUAUAGAUCUUCGAAUACUAUGAAGAGAAGUUUCCACGAACGGAGAGGUGAAUAAUGUCACAUUUGAAUUUACAUAUUUAUAGAAAAAGAAAGUUUAAAAAGUCAUAUAGUAACAAUGAUAUGUUUAUACAAAGUUUAAAGAUGUAGAAGACCCGAGGCUAUAUGAGAGUUCAAUGCCAUUUUGGUCCUAUAUAUCUUGUGGAAGAGCCGCUUACUUCCUGCCACUUACUUAAAGGUUGACACUAGUAGUUGACGGAUGAGAGUAAAAUUAUAUUGGUCCAAUCGAUCGAAACUUUCUACGAACUUAAUACCAAUGGUUUUAGAUGAGAUAGGAUGAAAAAGGACCACACCUUAAAAAAACUAAAAAUAGAAUGACCACAAGGGGUCAAUAAACCUAAUUCAAGCUUCAGAUAAAAAUGAUCAUAAUUUUGUGAAAGACAUCAUAAAAAUGAUUUAUAGUGAAGAUGUGUGGUCCUGAUUGAGAAAUUUUAUAUAAAGUCAAAUGACAUUUAUAGAGGAAAGAAGUUUUUACUUGAAGUAACAAGAAAAAUCCCUCUUUCUAUAGAAGAGGGGGCGUUCAAUUACUUUAAAAAGCGGAAGAAAAUUUGGCCCCAAGGGGUGGCAUUGGCCUGGAUGAGUUGUCCAGUUCAUAAACUUGUUUUUAAACGCGGAUUUCGAGCUACUAAUAAUAUCACGCCUCGGAGUCGUAAUUUUAAACGUCAGAAUGUGAGUAACCUCUUUUGUUGAAGGAAAUAUAUAUAUAAGACUGUAGAAUAAAUUAGUUAACGUAAACGUCGAGUUAAAUGCCCCUAUUCUUAAUAUAUAUAUAUAUAAACAUUUAUAAAUUAAAAAUAACAUAAAAAAAUUAAAAGUUAAGAAAUUAUCUAUCCCGCCUAUCCUUCUGGCAUUUAAAAAAGUUUAUAAGUAAAUUUACAUUAAUUAAUUUGUGCUUAAUAGCUUUAAAGGUAAUUAAAAAAUACCUUUAAAUUGAGUUGCGACAAUAAUUUACAUUGUUUAAUCUUCUUUCAGCCUAAAGCUAGCCUAUUUGUAAAGCCUAGAGCCUUUACUUUAAGGCACAUUUAAUCGGAUAUUAAGUU